AUGAACGCUGGCGGCGUGCUUAACACAUGCAAGUCGAACGGAAAGGCCCAAGCUUGCUUGGGUACUCGAGUGGCGAACGGGUGAGUAACACGUGGGUGAUCUGCCCUGCACUUCGGGAUAAGCCUGGGAAACUGGGUCUAAUACCGGAUAGGACGAUGGUUUGGAUGCCAUUGUGGAAAGUUUUUUCGGUGUGGGAUGAGCUCGCGGCCUAUCAGCUUGUUGGUGGGGUAAUGGCCUACCAAGGCGUCGACGGGUAGCCGGCCUGAGAGGGUGUACGGCCACAUUGGGGCUGAGAUACGGCCCAGACUCCGACGGGAGGCAGCAGUGGGGAAUAUUGCACAAUGGGCGCAAGCCUGAUGCAGCGACGCCGCGUGGGGGAUGACGGCCUUCGGGUUGUAAACUCCUUUCGCUAGGGACGAAGCGUUUUUGUGACGGUACCUGGAGAAGAAGCACCGGCUAACUACGUG
rnacentral:rRNA from 1 species